UUAGGGGCACUCGGGCCCCGAGGCGUAUGGCGAGAGUUCGCGUUACACAAGAGGUGUGAUCCCGGCCCAAGAUUGGCAGUUGGGAGAGCUAGUACGGAGAGUUGGGCUGUCUGAACCCUGAUUUGAUGUGUCUUCCGCCGACUCCUGUAAUCCCCUUCAGAAGACGUUGGUCGCAUUUCCUCCAUGCUGUCCGCCUACCCAGCUCUCCGCGGGAUUUCCCGCUCUUCGGGCCCUGGCGCGGUUUCCUCCUUCGUGUUCUGUCGAGGGCUCCAUGACAUGGGCAGUAAUGGGUGCGCUGCAGUGGGUCUGAGCCGGCACCGUGGUCGAGUCCAUUCGCUUCAGCCAACCUGGCUCGUUUGCUGAGAAAUGUUGGUGGGUUUUAGUCUGUAAGAAAGUCUUCAAGUUUCCUCAAAGUUAAGGUGUCAAAUUUGUAUCUCAAUCUACAUCCUUUCCCACCUUCUCCUGCUCUCUUCCUGUUUAUCCUUCACAGAUAUUCCCCCAAUAAAUCUGUUAUAUGUUA